GGUUCGAUGGUGUAGUUGGUUAUCACGUCUGUCUCACACGAGCUUGAACAUCUAUCUGUUCAGUGAUCACAGGAGGUCUCCGGUUCGAACCCGGGUCGAACCA